UUCAUAACCAAUACUCUAUGUUGGAUAUUCAAGCUCUCUCCUAGAAUAAGUUUACAAUCCAAACAAAUCUUACUAUCUGACUUCCUAAUAAGAAAGAAAUCUAUCUAAGAACAUGUCACCCCAGUUUUAUGUGAUAAAAUGUUCAUCUCUUUUCCUAAACUAAGUAUUUGCUAUAGUAAUAUCCAAAAUCGACAAAAACUCUAAGAUAGAUUUACCCUCCGC
rnacentral:lncRNA from 1 species